GACGAACGCUGGCGGCGUGCCUAACACAUGCAAGUCAACUUGACUGAAGGAGCAAUCUGACAGUAGAGUGGCGCAAGGGUGCGUAACGCGUAAGUAACUUGCCCAAGGUAAGGAAUAACGUCGAGAAAUCGGCGCUAAUACCUCAUAAUGCAGCGGAUCCGCAUGGAUACGUUGUUAAAGGUUUACCGCCUUGGGAUAGGCUUGCGUCUGAUUAGCUAGUUGGUGUGGUAACGGCACACCAAGGCUACGAUCAGUAACUGGUCUGAGAGGAUGAUCAGUCACACUGGAACUGAGACACGGUCCAGACUCCUACGGGAGGCAACAGUGAGGAAUAUUGGGCAAUGCUCGAAAGAGUGACCCAGCAACGCCGCGUGGAGGAUGAAGGUAUUCUAUAUCGUAAACUCCUGUGAGAGC
rnacentral:rRNA from 1 species